AGUGAACGCUGGCGGUAGGCCUAACACAUGCAAGUCGAACGGCAGCACAGUAAGAGCUUGCUCUUACGGGUGGCGAGUGGCGGACGGGUGAGGAAUACAUCGGAAUCUACUUUUUCGUGGGGGAUAACGUAAGGAAACUUACGCUAAUACCGCAUACGCCCUACGGGUGAAAGCAGGGGAUCUUCGGACCUUGCGCGAUUGAAUGAGCCGAUGUCGGAUUAGCUAGUUGGCGGGGUAAAGGCCCACCAAGGCGACGAUCCGUAGCUGGUCUGAGAGGAUGAUCAGCCACACUGGAACUGAGACACGGUCCAGACUCCUACGGGAGGCAGCAGUGGGGAAUAUUGGACAAUGGGCGCAAGCCUGAUCCAGCCAUACCGCGUGGGUGAAGAAGGCCUUCGGGUUGUAAAGCCCUUUUGUUGGGAAAGAAAAGCAGCAGGUUAAUACCCCGCUGUUCUGACGGUACCCAAAGAAUAAGCACCGGCUAACUUCGUG
rnacentral:rRNA from 1 species